rnacentral:rRNA from 3 species
GGACUACUAGGGUUUCUAAUCCCGUUCGCUCCCCUGGCUUUCGCGCCUCAGCGUCAGCAGAGAUCCAGCACGCCGCUUUCGCCGCCGGCGUUCCUUCCGAUAUCAACGCAUUUCACCGCUCCACCGGAAGUUCCGCGUGCCCCUACCUCCCUCCAGACCACCAGUAUCAAAAGCUGUUUUCCGGUUAAGCCGAAAGAUUUCACCCCUGACUUGAUGGCCCGCCUACGCGCCCUUUAAGCCCAGUGAUUCCGAACAACGUUCGCACGGUUUGUCUUACCGCGGCGGCUGGCAC